ACGAGUUUUCUAAACUCCCAAAACCUUUGUGAACCUACCACUUGUUGCCUCGACAGUCAACUAUCCGGUUGUCGUUACACUUCGGUGUAUCGCCAACCUACCCGGUACUAACAUACCCGGUAGCUCUGCGGAUAGCCUGUCGGUGGACACUUUAAACUCUUGUUUUUAUAAUGCCAUUCUGAAUUUUUAUACUUAAUAAGUUA
rnacentral:misc_RNA from 1 species